rnacentral:rRNA from 1 species
AUACGUAGGUGCCAAGCGUUAUCCGGAUUUACUGGGCGUAAAGGGCGUGUAGGCGGAGAUGCAAGUCAGGAGUGAAAUCUAGGGGCUCAACCCCUAAACUGCACUUGAAACUGCGUUUCUUGAGUGUCGGAGAGGUUGACGGAAUUCCUAGUGUAGCGGUGAAAGGCGUAGAUAUUAGGAGGAACACCAGUGGCGAAGGCGGCCUGCUGGACGACAACUGACGCUGAGGCGCGAAAGCGUGGGGAGCAAACAGGAUUAGAUACCCUGGUAGUCCACGCUGUAAACGAUGAAUACUAGGUGUGGGGGGACUGACCCCCUCUGUGCCGCAGUUAACACAAUAAGUAUUCCACCUGGGGAGUACGAUCGCAAGAUUGAAACUCAAAUGAAUUGGCGGGG